GAGCCUGUGCUCCGCAACUGGAGAGGCCACAACAGUGAGAGGCCCGUGUACCGGAAAAAAAAAAAAAAAAAGUGGAUACCCUUUACUGGAUUUGUUCAGUGUCUUGAAGAUAAAGGUCAAAACUUUGAGGAACCACUAAAUAGGCUCUUUCUGAAUAUCCUAUUUCCUUCCAUUGAAAUUCUAUUGCUCCUUUCUGCCUGCUGGUCACAUCUAUAAACUUUUGUAAUAUUAUUAGGUACUAUACAGAUUAUAAAAAUAUGUAGCUAUGCACUCAAGAAGCUUACAAGCUAGUUGGAACCACAAAAAGACUAUUUGUCAGCAAGUGAGAAAAGGUAUCCUUUUUUGGUGGUUUAGAGAAUCAGAACUUUUUUUUUCUCUUAAGGAGCUGGAAUGAGACUACCUCUUGGGAAAGAUGCCUGAAUUCAUUUAGAAGAAAUUCAUGAAGCCUCCUUAGAGUGAGGGUGAGACACAUACAUCCCCCAGUGAGACAAGUUCAUCUAACAAUAGGGGUUGAAAGACUGAAAGGCUGAAUCUUCCUGGGAGAAAGAUACCUCGGAGGAGACACUUUGGGAGAGAAAGAGUGUUUAAAGUGUUCUGGGAUGCAACAGUUCUUCAUGCCAGCAGCAGCGGUUGGUUCCAGCUUUGGACUUCUUUCCAUAUUCCCAGAAGGAGGCUUAUCACAUUCCUCAGAGAUACCAGUACCAGCCAGCCAGCCAACCUCCUCAGCGGUCUGAGUCCUGACAGACCUCGGGACUCAGGUCCCUCCUCUGAGCCACUGAGGUACCAGUAUAAGUCUAAUCAUGAGAUAAACAUCAAACAAAUCCCAGUUGAGUGACGUUCUACAGAAUACUUGACCAGUAAGUACUCUUCGAAACUGCCAAGGUCAUCAAAAACAAUGAAAAGUCUGAGAAACUGUCACAACCAAGAGGAACAUAAGAAGACAUGUCAACUGAAUGUAAAGUGGAUCCCCUGAUGAGAUCCUGGAACACAAAGAUAAUUCUGCGCCAAAGAGAAGACACAGCUGUAGCAUUACAGCCCCCAAUAGGAGUUUCCUUAAAAGACAGUGGUGAAGUAAAUCCUCCCAGUGGGCAGAUCUUCAAGAAAUACACUUGGUUGUCCACUUUAUCUGAACUGAAGAAUGGCCAGAACACACCUACCCUGACUAAUGGGCAGUUGCUUACAGCUUCACAAUACGCUUAGGGAACUGGAAAGAACAGCGGCAUUGGAAGAAACAGAGGCACAGAAAUUAUGUAAUUUGCAGAAGACUGCACAGCUGAUGAACAAUGGAGCCAUUUUAGGAAGCUCUAACCCAGGUCUCUCUGACUUCAGUCUGUCUUGGCCUCACAUACCUCAGCAAAGAAGUGGAAAUGGUCUCAAGCUACACCAUCCUCUAACGUAAUGGUCCCCACAGUGGAGGAGGAUAGGCACAUCCUGGGUGUGCGUGAUGGUAUACUAGGAUAUUAACAAAAAAUGUUAGAUUUCUAUUUAUACUUUUUAAGUCUAAAACAAUAAUAAAGAAAUUCAGCUUUGCUACUAUUUAACAUACAGCUGGACACUGGCAUCCUUAUUUGGUCUGGAUGCCAGCUG